rnacentral:rRNA from 1 species
GACGGAGGGUGCUAGCGUUGUUCGGAAUCACUGGGCGUAAAGGGCGCGUAGGCGGCUUUAUAAGUCGGGGGUGAAAGCCUGUGGCUCAACCACAGAAUUGCCUUCGAUACUGUAGAGCUUGAGACCGGAAGAGGUAAGUGGAACUGCGAGUGUAGAGGUGAAAUUCGUAGAUAUUCGCAAGAACACCAGUGGCGAAGGCGGCUUACUGGUCCGGUUCUGACGCUGAGGCGCGAAAGCGUGGGGAGCAAACAGG